GAUGAACGCUGGCGGCGUGCUUAAUACAUGCAAGUCGAACGGAUAGCGCAAGGUUCUUGCAUCUUUCAGUGGAGUGGCGAAGGGUAGAGUAACAGGUGGACAACCUGCAUCAAGGCUUGGGACUACAUUUGGAAACAGAUGCUAAUACAGAAUAAAACUUAGUGUCGAAUGACACAAAGUUAAUAGGCUCUUGGGUGACACCUCGAGCUGGAUCCUCGGUGCUUUAGUAAGUUGGUGGGGUAAAGGCCUCCCAUGGCAAUGAUGAAUAGCCGAGUUGAGAGACGGAACGGCCACAGUGGGACUGAGACACGGCCCUAACUCCUACGGGAGGCUCCGGUAGGGAAUCGUCCACAAUGGGCGAAAGCCUGAUGGAGCAACGCCGCGCUGAUGAUGAAAGCUUUCGGGUCGUAAAGCACUGUUGUAUGUGAAGAACAGCUAGGAUAGGAAAUGAUCUUUGUUUGACGGUACCAUACUAGAAAGGGACGGCUAAAUACGUG
rnacentral:rRNA from 1 species